CGGAGGUUCGUGGUAGGAGAGCGUUCUAAGGGCGGUGAAGUCAGACCGGAAGGACUGGUGGAGCGCUUAGAAGUGAGAAUGCCGGUAUGAGUAGCGAAAGAAGGGUGAGAAUCCCUUCCACCGAAUAUCUAAGGUUUCCUGAGGAAGGCUCGUCCGCUCAGGGUUAGUCGGGACCUAAGCCGAGGCCGAUAGGCGUAGGCGAUGGACAACAGGUAGAGAUUCCUGUACCAGUGCUAAUUGUUUAACCGAUGGGGUGACACAGAAGGAUAGGGAAUCGCACGAAUGGAAAUGUGCGUCCAAGCAGUGAGUGUGAGAAGUAGGCAAAUCCGCUUCUCGCGAAGCAUGAGCUGUGAUGGGGAAGGAAAUUAAGUACGGAAGUUCCUGAUUUCACGCUGUCAAGAAAAGCCUCUAGGAAGAGUAGUACUGCCCGUACCGCAAACCGACACAGGUAGAUGAGGAGAGAAUCCUAAGGUGAGCGAGAGAACUCUCGUUAAGGAACUCGGCAAAAUGACCCCGUAACUUCGGGAG
rnacentral:rRNA from 1 species